AGCGAACGCUGGCGGCAGGCUUAACACAUGCAAGUCGAGCGGGCAUCCUUGUGGUGUCAGCGGCAGACGGGUGAGUAACGCGUGGGAACGUGCCCUUCGGUUCGGAAUAACUCAGGGAAACUUGAGCUAAUACCGGAUACGUGCGAGAGCAGAAAGGUUUAUCUGCCGAAGGAUCGGCCCGCGUCUGAUUAGCUAGUUGGUGAGGUUAUGGCUCACCAAGGCGACGAUCAGUAGCUGGUCUGAGAGGAUGAUCAGCCACACUGGGACUGAGACACGGCCCAGAAUCCUACGGGAAGGAGCAGUGGGGAAUAUUGGACAAGGGGGGCAAACCUGAACCAGCCAUGCCGCGUGAGUGAUGACGGCCUUAGGGUUGUAAAGCUCUUUUCUCCGGGACGAUAAUGACGGUACCGGAGGAAUAAGCCCCGGCUAACUUCGUG
rnacentral:rRNA from 1 species